GUAUCCUGUCUGAAUAUGGGGGGACCAUCCUCCAAGGCUAAAUACUCCUGACUGACCGAUAGUGAACCAGUACCGUGAGGGAAAGGCGAAAAGAACCCCGGCGAGGGGAGUGAAAAAGAACCUGAAACCGUGUACGUACAAGCAGUGGGAGCACAGGUUUACCUGUGUGACUGCGUACCUUUUGUAUAAUGGGUCAGCGACUUAUAUUCUGUAGCAAGGUUAACCGUAUAGGGGAGCCGGAGGGAAACCGAGUCUUAAUUGGGCGUUAAGUUGCAGGGUAUAGACCCGAAACCCGGUGAUCUAGCCAUGGGCAGGUUGAAGGUUGGGUAACACUAACUGGAGGACCGAACCGACUAAUGUUGAAAAAUUAGCGGAUGACCUGUGGCUGGGGGUGAAAGGCCAAUCAAACCGGGAGAUAGCUGGUUCUCCCCGAAAGCUAUUUAGGUAGCGCCUCGUGAAUUCAUCUCCGGGGGUAGAGCACUGUUUCGGCUAGGGGGCCAUCCCGGCUUACCAACCCGAUGCAAACUGCGAAUACCGGAGAAUGUUAUCACGGGAGACACACGGCGGGUGCUAACGUCCGUCGUGAAGAGGGAAACAACCCAGACCGCCAGCUAAGGUCCCAAAGUCAUGGUUAAGUGGGAAACGAUGUGGGAAGGCCCAGACAGCCAGGAUGUUGGCUUAGAAGCAGCCAUCAUUUAAAGAAAGCGUAAUAGCUCACUGGUCGAGUCGGCCUGCGCGGAAGAUGUAACGGGGCUAAACCAUGCACCGAAGCUGCGGCAGCGACGCUGAUGCGUUGUUGGGUAGGGGAGCGUUCUGUAAGCCUGCGAAGGUGGCCUGUG
rnacentral:rRNA from 1 species